UAUGUGAUCGUCUCUCGCAUAUCAAUAAGCGGAGGAAAAGAAACUAACAAGGAUUCCCCUAGUAACGGCGAGUGAAGCGGGAAGAGCUCAAAUUUGAAAUCUUAAAGGGUUUCCCUUUACGAAUUGUAGUUUAAAGAAGUGUUUUCUGUUGAGGUUUUGGUAAAAGUUCUUUGGAAUAGGACAUCAUAGAGGGUGAGAAUCCCGUAUUUGACCUUUACUUUCAACUUUGUGAUACACUUUCAAAGAGUCGGAUUGUUUGGGAAUGCAGUCCAAAAUGGGUGGUAAAUUUCAUCUAAAGCUAAAUAUUGGCGAGAGACCGAUAGCGAACAAGUACCGUGAGGGAAAGAUGAAAAGAACUUUGAAAAGAGAGUUAAACAGUACGUGAAAUUGUCAAAAGGGAAGCGUUUGACACCAGUGUUGUUUUUCUGAAAAUCAAUUAAAGAACUGUUUAUGCUAAGCUGUUUAGACUUUAUCAGCUAUCUGUUUAGUUUUGAGCUUUUCUUUAAUGCACUUUUCAGUUAACAAGUCAACAUCAAUUUCUUUUGCUGUAAAAAAGCUUGAGGAAGGUGGCUUGAGAUUCGUCUUAAGUGUUUAUAGCCUCUUGCCUAUGCAGUCGGAGAGAUUGAGGUCUGCAGCGUAGAUCCUUCGGGGCUAAAUGCAUUUGUGCUAAGUUAUAGCAUUUUAUAGACAACUUGUUGACUAUGAUUUGUCUUGUAGCUUACUCGCUUAUGUUAUUUUACCUACGCUUAGGAUGUUGAAGACUCUACAGAGAUA
rnacentral:rRNA from 1 species